UGGACGCACUGCGGCUGGUCCCAGGUGGACACGUCUGGCAGCUUCAUCACGUGACCUGCAGCCGCGAUGUGGCGCAGCACGUCGGCUCUGGAGAGGAACUUCCCCUCGCAGCCGUAGCAGCGGCUCUGGUGGAUCUGCCUCCGGAUGAAGUUCACCAGUUUGACCUGCUGGUAGAACCUGAGGUCUGAGAGGAGCAGACAGCGAGAGGUGUCACCGUGUUGCUCUCUGACGCUCUUCAUGCUGCUCGUGGCUGAGAUCAUGACGUCAGACUCUGUUCCUCUGAUCGCUCAGCGUCAGCCGGGGGUCACUGCGACGCCACCCACAGGUAACCAAUGGAUUCCAGGGCGUGGAGGGUUUGCACUAAGCCACGCCCCCCGAACCAGAGCUCCUGUGUCCGCAGCUGGUGGGAGGCGGCAUGGCUGGCGAGGAGGAUGUGCUGAGAGCAGGGGGGCGGAAGAAGAGUCGGAGCGGGAGGGAGCUCAAUGCUGGAGGCGGAGCUUAACCAGAUCCUGGAGGAGGUCAGGUACAUCGCCGGGCGUUUCCGGGGGCGGGACGAGGAGGAGACGGUCUGCAGCGAGUGGAGGUUUGCUGCUGCGGUGAUCAACUGCUUUUGUCUGGUGGCGUUCUCAGUCUUCACCAUCAUCUGCACCAUCGCAAUCCUCAUGUCGGCCCCCAACUUCGUGGAGGCCAUUUCCAAAGACUCCUCCAGCUGAGUUUCUUUACUUCAGUCCACAAACCAACGUGUCAGACGCCCGAGGUCAGUGUUGAGGUCAGUGUCUGAGGUCAGUGUUGAGGUCAGUGUUGAGGUCAGUGUUGAGGUCAGUGUCUGAGGUCAGUGUUGAGGUCAGUGGCUCCUGUGGAAGAUGUUUGGUUUUAUCAAAUUCGUGAUGUUUAAAAUCACAAAAACAAUCAUUGGACCUCGUAAGUGGAAUUUCAACCUAGUCAAUUUAGUAAAUAUCCUUUUCUAUUAGCAGCCAUUGAUAUGAAUCAUUUUAAACUUUACAAUAAUUGUUCCUCUGUGGAUUCCUUGAUAAACUCAACAUUUUUCCAUGUUAGCUCAGAGAAAACUGUGUGUUUACAUCUUGUGUCGGUUCUAACUCUAAUCAACUGACACUCAGACAGAACGUCCUGCAGCUGCUCCACAGAAGAAUAAAGAUAAUGAUGGUGAUGAUGAUGUCCUCCUGGUUUGAAAAGGGCCAAACAGCUGCUCGGAAUCGAACCACCGGAAGCUUUAAAGCUACAAAUGAAUCUCUAUUUUUUGUAUACGUUUUUUUAAAUCCAUCAUCCAAUAAAAAUUGUUGUGACAGUGACCAGAUGUGUGUUUUUCUAUUUGUUCUGAACGUUGUCAGUUGGAAACAAUGUCAAUUUUAGAUUAUUUUUAAAUUUGAGAUCAUUUUGGAAGAAAAAUCUGGACUUUAACUCAACUUUCAUGUUGUAGUAGUGCCCUAAAAAAAUAAAUUGAUAAUAUGUACUAAAGUAAAAGUACCAUAUUAACUUUGCAACUUCAAAGUAACUAAAUACUUGCUUGUAAAUAUCCAUAUGACAGGAUGACGCUGCCCCUGGUGGUCAGCAGCAGCAGCACAGACAACAUUCACCUCAGAUGAGAAAGAACGAGUCGAAUGUUUCAGAAUAAAACAGAUUUAAUCUUUAUUUGACAUAAUGUCCGUCAGAGUCGAGGAGCUUCUGUAAAACCUGGAUCUGUAAAGACACAUAAAACAUUUCUGUUUCUCUGAGCUCAUUUAUUGUGUCACUGAUAUUAACUGAGUAAUUUUUGAUAUGUUAUAAAUGUCAGCCUUAACCAGAGCCUGAACCAGAGGCGGAACCAGAGCCUGAACCAUGCAGGUAGAGAUGCUCCUCUUGUUCCUUGGAGGCUACGUGAAGCAACGAUAGAGAAAAUCUGAGCUGAAAAACUGCUUCUCCUCCUAAUAAGUUGUUGUUUGUGAUAUUUUCAGGCGGAGGAGGAGGCAG